CAACCUGAGAGUUUGAUCCUGGCUCAGAGCGAACGCUGGCGGCAGGCCUAAUACAUGCAAGUCGAGCGGUCCCUUCGGGGGCAGCGGCGGACGGGUGAGUAACGCGUGGGAACGUGCCCUUUGGUACGGAACAACUGAGGGAAACUUCAGCUAAUACCGUAUGUGCCCUUCGGGGGAAAGAUUUAUCGCCAUUGGAGCGGCCCGCGUUGGAUUAGGUAGUUGG
rnacentral:rRNA from 1 species